UACGUAGGGGGCAAGCGUUGUCCGGAAUUAUUGGGCGUAAAGAGCUCGUAGGCGGUCUGUUGCGUCCGCUGUGAAAACUCGGGGCUUAACCCCGAGCCUGCAGUGGAUACGGGCAGACUAGAGGUAGGUAGGGGAGAAUGGAAUUCCCGGUGUAGCGGUGAAAUGCGCAGAUAUCGGGAGGAACACCGGUGGCGAAGGCGGUUCUCUGGGCCUUACCUGACGCUGAGGAGCGAAAGCAUGGGGAGCGAACAGG
rnacentral:rRNA from 1 species